CGAGCUGACCAAUGGGAGCCGGAAGCGUUGGCCAGGUGUGAGGGUCGCGAGGCGGCGUAUGGCGGACGCGGUGCUAUUCGAGUUUCUGCACACCGAGAUGGUGGCGGAGCUGUGGGCCCCGGACCCGGACCCUGGCUCGGGGGGAAAGAGGAAGAGCCUGUCCGUCCUGGAGGGCCUGGGCUUCCGCGUGGGCCAGGCUCUGGGUGAGAGGCUGCCCCGGGAGACACCGGCCUUUAGGGAGGAGUUAGAUGCCCUCAAGUUCCUGUGCAGAGAUCUGUGGGCGGCCACAUUCCAGAAGCACGCCGAUGGACUCCGCACCAACCACCAGGGGACCUAUGUGCUGCAGGACAACAGCUUCCCCCUCCUCGUCACCAUGGGCUCGGGGCCACAGUAUCUAGAGGAAGCCCCCAAGUUCCUGGCCUUCACCUGCGGCCUUCUUUGCGGCGCCCUCCAUACAUUGGGCUUCCAGAGCCUGGUCACCGCCUCCGUGGCAUCCCUGCCCGCCUGGUACUGCUAGGCUUAGAUGACUCCUCCUGCCACUGUGAAGAGCUGGACUCAAUGGGCAAGACAUGUAAGUUCCAGGUGGUGAUCCAGAAGUCCUGAGGACCCCAGACGCCAGGCUUGCCCUCCCUAAGCUUAGCCUCGGAAUGUGGCACCUGACCCUGCCUCACUGCUCACCUUUGCAGGUCGCAUGUGCUUCAGACAAGGGAAUGAAAGUGCCGGGAGGGUCCUGGGAGGUGGGGCCAUCCCUGAGUUCCAAGUCAGCAUGGAGGGACAUUAGGGCAUCACCCAGAUGACAUAUGUUCAGUAAAGGUUCUUUAUGUGCAAACAGA